rnacentral:rRNA from 1 species
UACAGGGGGGGCAGGCGUUGUUCGGAAUUACUGGGCGUAAAGGGUUUGUAGGUGGCUUGCUAAGUCAGACGUGAAAUCCCUCAGCUUAACUGGGGAACUGCGUCUGAUACUGGCGAGCUUGAGUGCAGGAGAGGAACGCGGAAUUCCAGGUGUAGCGGUGAAAUGCGUAGAUAUCUGGAGGAACACCGGUGGCGAAGGCGGCGUUCUGGACUGCAACUGACACUGAAAAACGAAAGCCAGGGGAGCAAACGGG